AUCACCUUUCCUUUUAGAGUUUAAAAUCAUUAUCAAUUCACUUCUGUCAUAUAUGAUGAAUCAAACCCCCCAACUCUCGUUUACAGUUUUUACUAUCUUCAUCAUUCUUGUGCUAGGAACGAUGGCAAGAAAAGGGCAAAUUGUGUGAUCAAAUACAACUCCCUGUAAACAAAGAUGGGUUGUGUGUUGAUUCUGAAUGCCAAAAUAAGUGUCGCGAGUCAAAAGGACCGAAGGGGAUGAUUAAAUGUUUUGGGUCAAAAGCCAAAAAAUCUAUGAAUUGCUAUUGCGGAAUUCUUUGUUAACGUGCUGGUUAAGUAUGGUGAAUAAAUAUGAUGCUUAACUAUGAUAUCGUUGAAGUAUUUUUUUUCUCUGUUUUUUUCCUGUACUAGAAAAACACUAUAAUAUUUUUAUUGGAAGCCUUAUAAGAAAGUAUUGAAAUGUUUGUUUCGGAUUUGUUGCAUUAUAUAUAAUAAGGAAUAACAUAAAUUUUAAUCAAGACACAAUGGUUUAGUAUAAUCAGUGAACUUUUAUCUUUUUAUUGUAUUUAGUUAAUUCCGGCCAAUUGAACUUAAUAUCUUGUUCACUUACUUUUUCUAUUUGGGCUAAAAUAAUAUUACCGUCCACAAAAAUAAGAAUCUGAAAGUAAAAAUUAACUUUCUGAUUUUUUUUAAAUAUAUCAAUGACAAACCAUUCUUUAAAAUCCAACCCCAGUGAAAACAUCGUACGUUACUGAAGGAAAGAAAAACAAGUGAAAAAAGAAUAAUUAAUCUCCUAGACAUUAUUUGAGUAGUAAUUUAUCAUAUGUCAUCACCAAAAUGAUUUUGAAAGAAAAAUGAUGACAUGGAGUAUAGCUAAUUAUGACAAGGAUAUUUACAUUUAAUGUUAUUUAUAUUUUUAGUAAGUUUUUUAGAAUAAGGUAAUACCACAUAAAUAUAAAUAAUUUAAAAAUAAAUAAUAUAAUAAAAAUUUAAAAAUAAUAAUAUUUUUUAAAAAUCAAAAUUUAUAUAAUUCCGUUUUUAUAUUUUUAUUAUAAAAACAAAUCGUCAAAAUUUUAUGAAGAUUGUUUUUAAAAUUAAUUGUAAUUUUUAAUCCCACUACCAUUAAUUUCUUUUUAAUAUCUACAAAUUUUAGAAGUAUUAUUUAGUUUAAAUUUUUGAAAAUUAUACCUAACCAAAAUUUCUCUCAAAUUAAUAGAAUUUGAUUUUGUAUAUUUUAACAAAGAAAUAGAUAAAAAGUAUUUCCAAGAUUGUAGUUUUAAAUAUAUAUACAUAUGCUAUUAAAUAUAUAUUUUAAGUGAUUUUUUUUUCUUAAUUUUUACGUUAUUAAAUUCAAAUUUAAAAUGAAAUAUUGUAUGAAAAUAAUAUAAUUUAUAAAUUAACAAAUUAUUUUAAAUGAUUUAAGGAUUAAGACUUUUAUUUUUGGUGGUGAAGGAAAACACUUAAUUUUAUAGUUAAUGAAGAGAUUAUUAUAUAUUAUGGCAUACCUAUGAAUUAAAAGAUUCGUAAAAAAUAACAUUUGUGUAGACAACAAAGAGAAAAGUAAUUUUACUAAAAAUUAUAUUAUAAACUUAAUAUACAUAAUCCACUCAUAACGCAGACAAAACCUUUAUUAGUUUCUAUUAAGAACUUGAAUAGAUGUGUCGCAAGUUUCAUAAUACUUUUAAAUUAUAUUGAUAUUAUUAUAUUUAUAUCUUAACUGAAUAAUAUUUAACUCUGACCCACUUAAUAUGUCAUUCUCAAAUGUAGAAUUGUAACUUUUAUUUUCGUGUUUCUUUUGUUAACAUUUUAUAUAUUUUUUGUGCACCAAGUUCCUAUAUAUUUACAAUUAGAUAUCAUAUAUGCCGAAUUUUUUUGAAAGUGGGACCCCAUAAACUGGAGGCCCCAUUCAAAUGUUUUAAAAUACUACAUACAAGCUCGACUCUGGACUUGAGUUGCGUAAGACCGCAAACUAAGGUGUGUUUGAUCUGUGUUUGAUUGAUCUGCACCCGACUAGCACAUGAUGUGUAUAUCUAACUGAGCAGUACUGCAUUACCCGAGAGAGGCAUAUAUACUGAAGACAUCAUUGAUCCCACUAUAUUGCAAACUAGAACCCUCAUAUUC